AGUUUUGAGCUAAAUAUAUUAUAAUAUUAGUUAUUUUAUGAAGGUGUUGUAGAACCUUAUUAAAAAAUAUAUCUAGGGGUGAUAGGCUUUUCAAAAACUAAGAUAUCUUGAAUCUAAUUAAAAGUAUGUAGUACACUAAACACAACUAUUAAGUGAUUAGGCUUUAUAGAAAUAAUAACUUAUUUAAUUAAAAUUUUCUAAAAAUUAAUAUUUAAGUAUAAAAAUAUAAUAAUAUACAUGUAUUAAAGUUUUUAAAGGGGUAAUUAGAUUGAUUAUAGUUUUUAGUUUUUUUAAUAAUGUUAAUAUUAGUAUUAAAUUUAUAUUUUUUUUUUGAACUCGGCAAAAAUGCUUUUCAACUGUUUAUCAAAAACAUAACUAUGUGAAAUUUAUAUAUAGCGAUUUCUGCUCAAUGAUUUUUUAAAUAGCCGCAGUAUACUGACUGUGCAAAGGUAGCAUAAUCAAUUGACUUAUAAUUGAAGUCUCGAAUGAAUGAAAAUGAUGGGAAGCUACUAUAAUAUGAAAAAUAUAUAUAAUUUACUUAUGAAGUGAAAAUACUUCUACAAACAUAAAAGACGAGAAGACCCUAGAAAUUUUUAGUAAUAAAAAUUAUUUUUGAGAAAUUUUUUGUUGGGGCGACAUAGUAGCAUAUUAACCUACUUAAAUUAGACUUGCACUAUAUAUAUUGAUUGAAAAAAUUACUCUAGGGAUAACAGCAUAAUAUUUCAAAAGUUUAUGACCUCGAUGUUGGAUUAGGAAAUAAUAACUUAAAAGGUUUUUUAUAUUGCUCUGUUCGAGCAUAAGCUCCUACAUGAUC
rnacentral:rRNA from 1 species